UACGUAGGGAGCAAGCGUUGUCCGGAAUCAUUGGGCGUAAAGCGCGCGUAGGUGGCCUCAUAAGUCCGCUGUGAAAGUCAAAGGCUCAACCUUUGAAAGCCGGUGGAUACUGUGGGGCUAGAGUACGGAAGAGGCGAGUGGAAUUCCUGGUGUAGCAGUGAAAUGCGUAGAGAUCAGGAGGAACAUCAGUGGCGAAGGCGCCUCUCUGGACUAAUACUGACACUGAGGAGCGAAGGCGUGGGGAUCAAACAGG
rnacentral:rRNA from 1 species